rnacentral:rRNA from 1 species
UACGUAGGGGGCUAGCGUUGUCCGGAAUCAUUGGGCGUAAAGCGCGCGUAGGCGGUCAGGUAAGUCCGGUGUGAAAGUCAAAGGCUCAACCUUUGAAUGCCGCUGGAUACUGCUUGACUUGAGUCCGGAAGGGGCGAGUGGAAUUCCUGGUGUAGCGGUGAAAUGCGCAGAUAUCAGGAGGAACACCAAUGGCGAAGGCAGCUCGCUGGAACGGUACUGACGCUGAGACGCGAAAGCGUGGGGAGCGAACAGG